UGACGCUAAAGCUCGAAGGUGCGGGUAUCGAACAGGAUUAGAUACCCUGGUAGUCCGCACGGUAAACGAUGGAUGCCCGCUGUCGGCGACAGACUGUCGGCGGCCAAGCGAAAGCGUUAAGCAUCCCACCUGGGGAGUACGCCGGCAACGGUGAAACUCAAAGGAAUUGACGGGGGCCCGCACAAGCGGAGGAACAUGUGGUUUAAUUCGAUGAUACGCGAGGAACCUUACCCGGGCUUGAACUGCAGGAGAACGAUCCAGAGAUGGUGAGGCCCUUCGGGGCUCCUGUGGAGGUGCUGCAUGGUUGUCGUCAGCUCGUGCCGUGAGGUGUCGGCUUAAGUGCCAUAACGAGCGCAACCCCUUUCGCCAGUUGCCAUCAGGUGAUGCUGGGCACUCCGGCGACACUGCCACCGUAAGGUGUGAGGAAGGUGGGGAUGACGUCAAAUCAGCACGGCCCUUACGUCCGGGGCUACACACGUGUUACAAUGGGUGGUACAGAGAGUCAGCGGCCGGCAACGUCCGCUCAAUCAAGAAAGCCAUCCUCAGUUCGGAUUGGGGUCUGCAACCCGACCCCAUGAAGCUGGAUUCGCUAGUAAUCGCG
rnacentral:rRNA from 1 species